UACAGAGGGUGCAAGCGUUAAUCGGAAUUACUGGGCGUAAAGCGUGCGCAGGCGGUUUUGUAAGUCUGUCGUGAAAGCCCCGGGCUUAACCUGGGAAUUGCGAUGGAGACUGCAAGGCUUGAAUCUGGCAGAGGGGGGUAGAAUUCCACGUGUAGCAGUGAAAUGCGUAGAGAUGUGGAGGAACACCGAUGGCGAAGGCAGCCCCCUGGGUCAAGAUUGACGCUCAUGCACGAAAGCGUGGGGAGCAAACAGG
rnacentral:rRNA from 1 species